CAGAGUUCUCGCCCUCGCGGGUAGAUCUCCCACCCACUGUUAUCGUUACUGUCGUUUCUUUGGCGGGCCGCCGGGUCCCCGGCCGCCGGCGUCUAAUAGGCGGCGCGCGCCCGCCAGAGGCCUUCGAACCCUGAAUGUUAGUGUCGUCUGAGUACUAUAUAAUAGUUA
rnacentral:misc_RNA from 1 species